GCCGGCCCGAGUUGGCGGCAGCGCUGGAGGCCCCGGGCCGGUGACCACAAAGAGGGAGCCGGGGCCGGACGGGAGCGCGGCGGCGGCGGCGGCUGAGGCCCAGGCCAGGCCCCCUCCCCUCAGCCUCCCUCCCGCCCGCCCGCCUGCCCCGCCCCCGCCGACGGCGCCCCGCCCCUCCCCCAACCGCCAGACUAGCCUGGUGCGGGGACCGCGCGCGAAGACAUGGGGGAGAAGUUGGAGCUGAGGCUGGAGUCGCCCGUGGGGGCCGAGCCCGCCGUCUACCCGUGGCCGUUGCCAGUUUCGUUGUGACAGAAAUAAAGUUUACAGAAGUCGUGUUCCUGCGAUAAGAUAUAAAGAUGUGACCUUCCAGUUGUGUAAAGCUCUUAAAGGCUGUGUAAGUGCGUCGGGUGCGCUAAGGAACCUGGAGCUAAAUGGGCUAGUUCUGAGAGAGAGAGACUUAACCAUGUUAACAAAGCUGCCAAGCAGUAACGGCUGUAUUUGUACUGAAUCCUGGAAGUGUCUCUGUAUCCUGGAAGUAUUGCAAUGAUCGUCUUCACACCUGCAAAAUAUUCCUGCACCGUGUACGCAAAUGAUUAUGGCUCCGCUCUCGGGCCUCAUCUGGGAGCUACUGCAUGUGAGGAUCAAAUUGAUACACAUUAGGGCAUCCUCAGCGGACUUUGGCAAAG